CUAAUACUCCCUUCGUUCUGAAUUACUUGUCGCAGAUAUGGAUGUAUCUAGAUGUAUUUUAGUUCUAGAUACAUCCAUUUCUGCGACGAGUAAUUUGGAACGGAGGGAGUAGUAC
rnacentral:pre_miRNA from 1 species